GGGUUGUGAGGUUAAGCGACUAAGCGUACACGGUGGAUGCCCUGGCAGUCAGAGGCGAUGAAGGACGUGCUAAUCUGCGAAAAGCGUCGGUAAGGUGAUAUGAACCGUUACAGCCGGCGAUGUCCGAAUGGGGAAACCCAGUGUGAUUCGUCACACUAUCGUUAACUGAAUACAUAGGUUAACGAGGCGAACCGGGGGAACUGAAACAUCUAAGUACCCCGAGGAAAAGAAAUCAACCGAGAUUCCCCCAGUAGCGGCGAGCGAACGGGGAGCAGCCCAGAGUCUGAAUCAGCUUGUGUGUUAGUGGAACGGUCUGGAAAGUCCGACGGUACAGGGUGAUAGUCCCGUACACCAAAAUGCACAGGCUGUGAACUCGAAGAGUAGGGCGGGACACGUGGUAUCCUGUCUGAAUAUGGGGGGACCAUCCUCCAAGGCUAAAUACUCCUGACUGACCGAUAGUGAACCAGUACCGUGAGGGAAAGGCGAAAAGAACCCCGGCGAGGGGAGUGAAAAAGAACCUGAAACCGUGUACGUACAAGCAGUGGGAGCACCUUCGGGUGUGACUGCGUACCUUUUGUAUAAUGGGUCAGCGACUUAUAUUCUGUAGCAAGGUUAACCGUAUAGGGGAGCCGCAGGGAAACCGAGUCUUAACUGGGCGUUAAGUUGCAGGGUAUAGACCCGAAACCCGGUGAUCUAGCCAUGGGCAGGUUGAAGGUUGGGUAACACUAACUGGAGGACCGAACCGACUAAUGUUGAAAAAUUAGCGGAUGACUUGUGGCUGGGGGUGAAAGGCCAAUCAAACCGGGAGAUAGCUGGUUCUCCCCGAAAGCUAUUUAGGUAGCGCCUCGUGAACUCAUCUUCGGGGGUAGAGCACUGUUUCGGCUAGGGGGUCAUCCCGACUUACCAACCCGAUGCAAACUACGAAUACCGAAGAAUGUUAUCACGGGAGACACACGGCGGGUGCUAACGUCCGUCGUGAAGAGGGAAACAACCCAGACCGCCAGCUAAGGUCCCAAAGUCACAGUUAAGUGGGAAACGAUGUGGGAAGGCACAGACAGCCAGGAUGUUGGCUUAGAAGCAGCCAUCAUUUAAAGAAAGCGUAAUAGCUCACUGGUCGAGUCGGCCUGCGCGGAAGAUGUAACGGGGCUAAACUGUGCACCGAAGCUGCGGCAGCGACACUUAGGUGUUGUUGGGUAGGGGAGCGUUCUGUAAGCCUGCGAAGGUGGCCUGUGAGGGUUGCUGGAGGUAUCAGAAGUGCGAAUGCUGACAUAAGUAACGAUAAUGCGGGUGAAAAGCCCGCACGCCGGAAGACCAAGGGUUCCUGUCCAACGUUAAUCGGGGCAGGGUGAGUCGACCCCUAAGGCGAGGCCGAAAGGCGUAGUCGAUGGGAAACAGGUUAAUAUUCCUGUACUUGGUGUUACUGCGAAGGGGGGACGGAGAAGGCUAUGUUAGCCGGGCGACGGUUGUCCCGGUUUAAGCAUGUAGGCGGAGGUUCCAGGUAAAUCCGGUACCUUUUUAACGCUGAGGUGUGAUGACGAGGCACUACGGUGCUGAAGUAACAAAUGCCCUGCUUCCAGGAAAAGCCUCUAAGCAUCAGGUAACAUUGAAUCGUACCCCAAACCGACACAGGUGGUCAGGUAGAGAAUACCAAGGCGCUUGAGAGAACUCGGGUGAAGGAACUAGGCAAAAUGGUGCCGUAACUUCGGGAGAAGGCACGCUGAUAUGUAGGUGAAGCCCCUGCGGGUGGAGCUGAAAUCAGUCGAAGAUACCAGCUGGCUGCAACUGUUUAUUAAAAACACAGCACUGUGCAAACACGAAAGUGGACGUAUACGGUGUGACGCCUGCCCGGUGCCGGAAGGUUAAUUGAUGGGGUUAUCCGUAAGGAGAAGCUCUUGAUCGAAGCCCCGGUAAACGGCGGCCGUAACUAUAACGGUCCUAAGGUAGCGAAAUUCCUUGUCGGGUAAGUUCCGACCUGCACGAAUGGCGUAAUGAUGGCCAGGCUGUCUCCACCCGAGACUCAGUGAAAUUGAACUCGCUGUGAAGAUGCAGUGUACCCGCGGCAAGACGGAAAGACCCCGUGAACCUUUACUAUAGCUUGACACUGAACAUUGAGCCUUGAUGUGUAGGAUAGGUGGGAGGCUUUGAAGCGUGGACGCCAGUCUGCGUGGAGCCAACCUUGAAAUACCACCCUUUAAUGUUUGAUGUUCUAACGUUGGCCCCUAAUCGGGGUUGCGGACAGUGUCUGGUGGGUAGUUUGACUGGGGCGGUCUCCUCCCAAAGAGUAACGGAGGAGCACGAAGGUUAGCUAAUCCUGGUCGGACAUCAGGAGGUUAGUGCAAUGGCAUAAGCUAGCUUGACUGCGAGCGUGACGGCGCGAGCAGGUGCGAAAGCAGGUCAUAGUGAUCCGGUGGUUCUGAAUGGAAGGGCCAUCGCUCAACGGAUAAAAGGUACUCCGGGGAUAACAGGCUGAUACCGCCCAAGAGUUCAUAUCGACGGCGGUGUUUGGCACCUCGAUGUCGGCUCAUCACAUCCUGGGGCUGAAGUAGGUCCCAAGGGUAUGGCUGUUCGCCAUUUAAAGUGGUACGCGAGCUGGGUUUAGAACGUCGUGAGACAGUUCGGUCCCUAUCUGCCGUGGGCGCUGGAGAAUUGAGGGGGGCUGCUCCUAGUACGAGAGGACCGGAGUGGACGCAUCACUGGUGUUCGGGUUGUCAUGCCAAUGGCAUUGCCCGGUAGCUAAAUGCGGAAGAGAUAAGUGCUGAAAGCAUCUAAGCACGAAACUUGCCCCGAGAUGAGUUCUCCCUGAGACUUUAAGUCUCCUGAAGGAACGUUAAAGACGAUGACGUUGAUAGGUCGGGUGUGUAAGCGUAGCGAUACGUUGAGCUAACCGAUACUAAUGAACCGUGAGGCUUAACCUUACAACGCCGAAGCUGUU
rnacentral:rRNA from 1 species